ensembl:rRNA 5S_rRNA 5S ribosomal RNA
UUUGUCAGUUACACACCCUGGAAACGCCCAAUCUCGUCUGCGCUUGGAAAGUAGGAUUAUAGGUCGGGUUUGUGAUGGGGGACUGCCUGAUACUAUUUUGUGCUGAAAGUU